GGUGUGUUUUUUUGUGGGGCCUGGUGUGUUGUUUUGUGGGGCCUGGUGUGUUGUUUUGUGGGGCCUGGUGUGUAUAUUGGUGGGGCCUGGUGUGUUUUUUGUGGGACCUGGUUUUUUUUUUUUGUGGGACAGGUUUCCCCAGAUAAUCUAUAAAAAGGAAACAUAUGGAGAAAGUACGAACCUAAACACGGCCAAGUGACUAUGAUGAUGCCAAGUUUAUUAAAAGGACAUCAGUAAGCUAUUCAUGAGAGCAAUCAAGACUCACUCACUCACUACGACGUUUGUGAAUAAGUGCAUUGAGGAUUAUUAUUGAAGCUAACAUUGCAUUUGUUGACGACCCUGCGGAGCGAUGCGCUAGCAGCAGUGUGGGUCCUGAAACCUCAUCAACGGUAAACGGUAAACACAUUUGCUGACCAGGCCAAAAGGGAGGAUGAACAGUCUCUCAUGACUAUAAUCAUAUUGAAUAAUUUUAAUGUACCAAGGAAACACAAUUAUCAUGAUGGAUCUUACUCUGGCUUUUCUUUGGUAGUCAUUGCACCCAAAGUAAUAAAAGUCACAUUAUCAACCAAGCUACAGUAACCCCCCCAUAAAGAAGGGAUGUGACAAAAAUGAUGAUGAGAAUAUCACGGAGACAAUAAAAGUCACAUUACCAACCAAGCUACAGUACCCCGUAAAGAAGAGAUGGGACAAAAAUGAUGAUGAGAAUAUCAUGGAGACAAUAAAAGUCACAUUCCCAACCAAGCUACAGUACCCCAUAAAGAAGGGAUGUGACAAAAAUGAUGAUGAGAAUAUCACGGAAAGACAAUAAAAGUCACAUUACCAACCAAGCUACAGCACCCCAUAAAGAAGAGAUGGGACAAAAAUGAUGAUGAGAAUAUCAUGGAGA